rnacentral:rRNA from 1 species
UACGUAGGGGGCAAGCGUUGUCCGGAUUUAUUGGGCGUAAAGAGCGUGUAGGCGGCCAGACAGGUCCGUUGUGAAAUCUCCAGGCUCAACCUGGAGGGGUCAUUCGAUACUGCCGUGACUAGAGUUCGGUAGGGGAGUGUGGAAUUCCUGGUGGAGCGGUGAAAUGCGCAGAUAUCAGGAGGAACACCCGUAGCGAAGGCGGCACUCUGGGCCGAUACUGACGCUGAGGAGCGAAAGCGUGGGGAGCGAACAGG